rnacentral:rRNA from 1 species
GAGUUUGAUCGUGGCUCAGGAUGAACGCUGGCGGCGUGCUUAACACAUGCAAGUCGAACGAAGCGCCUUAUUUGAUUUUCUUCGGAACUGAAGAUUUGGUGACUGAGUGGCGGACGGGUGAGUAACGCGUGGGUAACCUGCCCUGUACAGGGGGAUAACAAUCAGAAAUGACUGCUAAUACCGCAUAAGACCACAGCACCGCAUGGUGCAGGGGUAAAAACUCCGGUGGUACAGGAUGGACCCGCGUCUGAUUAGCUGGUUGGUGAGGUAACGGCUCACCAAGGCGACGAUCAGUAGCCGGCUUGAGAGAGUGAACGGCCACAUUGGGACUGAGACACGGCCCAAACUCCUACGGGAGGCAGCAGUGGGGAAUAUUGCACAAUGGGGGAAACCUGAUGCAGCAACGCCGCGUGAGUGAAGAAGUAUUUCGGUAUGUAAAGCUCUAUCAGCAGGGAAGAAAGUGACGGUACCUGACUAAGAAGCCCGGCUAACUACGUGCCAGCAGCCGCCGUAAUACC